UCCGGUUUGGCACCGGCAGUCUCUCCAGAGUCCCCGGCUCAGCUUGUUUAAGGCCUCUCCGCUGGCAACUGAAGACGGGGGUUGCGCUCGUUGCGGGACUUAACCCAACAUCUCACGACACGAGCUGACGACAGCCAUGCAGCACCUGUGCAGCGGCCCCGAAGGGGGGCCGAGCUUUCACCCGGCUUACCACUGCAUGUCAAGCCCAGGUAAGGUUCUUCGCGUUGCGUCGAAUUAAACCACAUGCUCCACCGCUUGUGCGGGCCCCCGUCAAUUCCUUUGAGUUUCAGCCUUGCGGCCGUACUCCCCAGGCGGGGCACUUAAUGCGUUAGCGCCGGCACUCGGAGGGUCGCUCCCCCGAGCACCUAGUGCCCAUCGUUUACGGCGUGGACUAC
rnacentral:misc_RNA from 1 species